UUCAUCAUUUCAGAUUUCUGAGGUUACGAUUUCAGAGGUUGCGAUUUCAUCGCUCAGAUUUUCUGAUUAUCUGAAAAUCACCAAGUCGACUAUUUUUUUUCUUGAAAGGCUUGCAGAGAUACCAGAAAACAGAGUUUCUGCAAAGCAUUACGGUUAAUUUUCAGGUUAAAUUCUUUCAGGUCAGAAAUUUCUUGGAGAGAUGCAAAAUAUGGUCAAAGAAUUCAAGAACUUACUUUUUUCAAGU